rnacentral:rRNA from 1 species
UACGUAGAGUGCAAGCGUUAAUCGGAAUUACUGGGCGUAAAGCGUGCGCAGGCGGUUUUGUAAGUCCGUCGUGAAAGCCCCGGGCUCAACCUGGGAAUUGCGAUGGAGACUGCAAGGCUUGAAUCUGGCAGAGGGGGGUAGAAUUCCACGUGUAGCAGUGAAAUGCGUAGAGAUGUGGAGGAACACCGAUGGCGAAGGCAGCCCCCUGGGUCAAGAUUGACGCUCAUGCACGAAAGCGUGGGGAGCAAACAGG